rnacentral:rRNA from 2 species
UGGGGAAUAUUGCACAAUGGGGGAAACCCUGAUGCAGCCAUGCCGCGUGUAUUAAGAAGGCCUUCGGGUUGUAAAGUACUUUCAGUUGUGAGGAAGGCGUCGGAGUUAAUAGCUUCAGCGUUUGACGUUAGCAACAGAAGAAGCACCGGCUAACUCCGUGCCAGCAGCCGCGGUAAUACGGAGGGUGCGAGCGUUAAUCGGAAUUACUGGGCGUAAAGCGCAUGCAGGCGGUCUGUUAAGCAAGAUGUGAAAGCCCGGGGCUCAACCUCGGAACAGCAUUUUGAACUGGCAGACUAGAGUCUUGUAGAGGGGGGUAGAAUUUCAGGUGUAGCGGUGAAAUGCGUAGAGAUCUGAAGGAAUACCGGUGGCGAAGGCGGCCCCCUGGACAAAGACUGACGCUCAGAUGCGAAAGCGUGGGGAGCAAACAGG